UUUUUUUUUUUUUUAGUAGAAAUGGGGUUUCGCCAUUUUGGCCAGGUUGGUCUCAAACUCAAACUCCUGGCCUCAAGUGAUCCGCCCACCUUGGCCUCGCAAAGUGCUGGGAUUACAGGUGUGAGCUACCACGCCCGGCCUCCUGAAGUCCCCUGUGCACAGAGCCUGCCAGUCAACACCGCGCCUGCGCCUCCAUGAGGGGGGUCAUCUUCACAGCAGUCCGGGACAGACAUCAGGCUUUGGCCUCUCAGCUCUGGGCCCAGAUUCAGAGUCUGGAGCCUGGGCCCUGCACACACAGCUUAGGAAGCCGGCUCAGGCUGUCGGGCUCCCCGUUCCCUUCUCUGUGAUGCACCUCUCCGCCUCCAGGGAGCAGAGAGGGGAAGUGGAAGACCUCCUUACAGAACGGGAGCAAAUGUGAAGAACGGGGGGAACAUGUCACUGGGAGCUCCUGACAGGCAGAAGCACUUCUCGGAAUGUUCAGUUGUUGAUCCCGCUGCAACCCAGGCCCCGCUUCAGAGCCACAUGCUGGCGUCUCAAUGCACACAGGUGCACCCCAAACCUCAGGACAAGGUCCCCCAGCAUCCCCAAAUGCAGCAGUGCCACAUCCACCAGCUCUGGGGAAAAUCCCAACAGUCGAGUGCAACUGCCUCACAAUUCGGAUCAUCCCUCAGAGGAGGUGUGCCCGACAGCAUCCCCAGCCCCGCUAGAAAGGUCUUUCCCUCCCAUCACUUAUCUCCAGGAGACAAUGAAGGGUGUAUUCCUGCCACCUCCCUACUUCCAAGGGAUGAGGCCUGGCCUUCCCUUCUGGCUCACCUGCUCACCAAAAAGUGUCCUCCACCUGACAGAGCCCUGACCUCACACCUCCACAGACAAACCUCCCUUCAGGCUGCCUGUUCCUCAGGAAUGAAUGGAAACUGGCCGCUUCCUUUCCUGUUGGCACAUGGGGCCAAAUCUUCAGCUUCAUGGGGUGCCAGAGCACCUGGGAGAGGCAGGAAUGAGGGAGCGGUCACCCUGUCCCCAGGGGCUCCUUCUGUUCCCUUGCAGAAGGCAGGUGAGUCUUAACUAGGAUCAAAAGAAAGAUGACAAAGUAGCCUCAGCCCCUGACUUUUAGCUCCCUCCUAAGCCUUCUCCCACUACCUGUCCCUAGAAUCCUCACGUCCCAACAGGAACCGGGCAGGUUUACUGGGAUAAGGAAAAAGACACUGUCAAAUCCGAAGCAGUAUGUGUGGCCUGUUGUCUGCGAACACGCACAGCUCCUGAGGCCCUCUGUGCUAGGUCAGCCAGGAUCCUUCCUGUAGGGUGAUCUCACUCAGGGACACUGGGAGACACAAGCUGAGGGUGGGGGAAGGUCAUCCACCAUAAAUACCCAUGACACAGGGGACCUCGUAUCACUAGCCCCAGGGCCUGUCUUGAUGGAAGAGCUUCUCCCUGCGGCCCAAGGGCCCUCAUGUCCCAGGCCCAGGCUUGCAAAAGGCUUGGGCUACCUGGGGCCUGAGGAUAUUGCAGGAAGGAAAUCCUGGUGCCCCAGGCCCAGACUGUGUCUCUAACUGCUCACCAGCUGGUGUGUUGUCGGGGAUGUCGGACUCCUGGACACUUGCUAGAGAUCGGAUCAGCAGCCCUGCUACACAGACCUGCCUGGAAAACCCUCACCAUGAAUAAUUCAUGAGUAAAUAAUUAAGAGCUUCCAUGU
ensembl:lncRNA